rnacentral:snRNA from 1 species
AUGCUUACUUUGGCAGCACAUAUACUAAAACUGAUACACUACAGAGAAGAUUAGCAUGGCCUCAAUGAAAAGGUAACAUGCAAAUCUGUGUAAUACCUAUAUUUUU